rnacentral:misc_RNA from 1 species
AACCCUUAACAAUGUGUCUGCAGGAAAAAUAUAUGUUGAAAUUGAGAGAGCCCGUCUGAUUAAGAAGCUUGCAAAAAUUAAAGAAGAACAAGGACUCAUAGCUGAGGCUGCUAAUUUGAUGCAAGAAGUUGCGGUUGAAACUUUUGGAGCAAUGGCAAAAACAGAGAAGAUUGCUUUUAUUCUUGAACAAGUGCGUCUCUGUUUGGAUAGUCUAGAUUAUGUGCGUGCACAAAUACUCUCAAGAAAGAUCAAUCCCAAAGUGUUUGAAGCCGAUCCUUCUAAAGAAAAGAAGAAACCAAA